GACCGCUCAGGUGGCCUAGUGCUUAGAACGUCCGCCUCAGAUGCGGGAGGUCGCAGGUUCGAACCCCGGCCGAGUCA